UACGAAGGGUGCAAGCGUUACUCGGAAUUACUGGGCGUAAAGGGUGCGUAGGCGGUUCGUUAAGUCUGUCGUGAAAUCCCCGGGCUCAACCUGGGAAUGGCGAUGGAUACUGGCGAGCUAGAGUGUGGCAGAGGAUGGUGGAAUUCCCGGUGUAGCGGUGAAAUGCGUAGAGAUCGGGAGGAACAUCAGUGGCGAAGGCGGCCAUCUGGGACAACACUGACGCUGAAGCACGAAAGCGUGGGGAGCAAACAGG
rnacentral:rRNA from 1 species